ACAGAUUAAUCAUAUUAAAGAAAAUUUAAUGCUAGCUUCUCCCAGUCACUGCUUGUGAGGCUUGCUUUAUAUGUGAAGACUCUGCACUUGAGAAAAGGAAGGAAAGAUAUGUGUAUCACCCAACUUUGCCUGAUUGACAUAGCAAGUUAAAACUGCAAGCCGUGAGUAUUUUUCUACACAUCGGUGAGAUGAUUUUAAGAAUAUUACAUGAAUUAAUUGCUGAAGUAAUAUUUAAUUUAUAAAAGGUAUCAUGGAUACCAUUUUACCAUAAACAGCUUGAUUGUUAAUAUGAAAUAAUCUUUUGUCAGUAAUAAUCUUAGAUACUAUGACUAGAGGGGAAAAAUAUUGAUUGUUUUUACAGAUUAUAAAAGCAUACAUUAGUAUAUUGUAUACCUGCUGUAAGAAUUUGUUUCAUUUGGUUAAAAUUAGUAAAUAUGGGUAGACAUGAACUUUCUGGCUGGUUUUGCCGUCCAUACUCACUGAGCUCCUUUUCCUUCUAAACCCAUUUUAGUUCAUUUCAUCUUUUCCCAGCUUUCAAAUCAUAGAUAAGGGGAAUGCUCUUCUACCCCCAGAAAUGUGCAUUCUAUAUACCAGAUUAUGAGUUUGAUUAGAGAAGUAAAAUUCAACAAAACAUGAAAGUUGUCAAAAAAAUUUAAUAAAAGUUGACACUAAAAAUAAGGUUGUUU
rnacentral:lncRNA from 1 species